UCUCCGAAGGUUUCCAAUUAUAAACUCAAUUGUUUAGGCUCUAUUUUAGUUUGAAAUAAAUACUCCUAUCCAGGGUUAUGCGAUCAUUUAUUUCCUUGUUUACGAAGAGAAAGGAUCGCAGAGUUGGAGUGAGAAUCUCCAUCUUGACAUUGAGAACUCCCUGAUCUACAAAGCAAAACAAGGCUGAACAUUUCAGCUAGACAAAAAUGCUGGAGAAACUCAGCAGGUGCAGCAGCAUCUAUGGAGCGAGGGAAAUAGGCAACGUUUCGGGCCGAAACACUGAAUAUUGCCACUGGUUGGGUGUGAGGCUGCAGGUCCCGACUGGACAGGCUGGGAGGAUGCUGAGCCAACCUACUCCAUCAUAGACUUCUAGAUCCCACCCGUCCAACGGCGAGGACAGACACUGGGCCGACCAAGGCAGGAAAACACCUCUCCAACUCAGACCACAGAAUCAGAGAGCAACCUCACCUGUGUGGGGCUGGGCGACAAUUACUACCGCCAACGAGACCCAGACGUUGUCCAAUCUGCUGAACUCAGGCAUUUCCAGGCAACCCCCUCUGGCAAGCUAAAGAAGACAUCACUGGGACACCGGCUUGGUGCUGCAGUAACUCAGCCGGGACAGGCAGCAUCUCUGGAGAGAAGGAAUGGGUCGAGACACUUGUGGAUUCAUAUCUAAGGGUCGACACCCUCCUUCACCCUAGACAUGUUGCCUGACUCGCUGAGUUACCCAGCCUGGCAUUGGUUUGGAAUGGCAGGUAAAGUUAUGGUUCAAGAGGGCCAGCAGAUUCAGGCGGUCACCGUGGCGAUCACUCGAUGUUCUUGCGGGUUGCGUCCACGGCUGUGCUCGGUUUGACCAUCCUCUGCAUGGUGAGAGGCUGGGCGCAUUCUCCAUCUAUUGCCGGGGAGUUCACCGACACGCCCAACACAUAAUCCACAUCCCUCACCACAGGCUUAAGAAUAAGGUGCAGGCCAUUUAGGACUGAGAUCAUGUGAUCAUAUCUCUCUCCCUCAGUAGUGACAGUAUCUCACUCCC